UACGGAGGGUGCAAGCGUUAUCCGGAUUCACUGGGUUUAAAGGGUGCGUAGGUGGGUUGAUAAGUCAGUGGUGAAAUCCCCGAGCUUAACUUGGGAACUGCCAUUGAUACUAUUGAUCUUGAAUACCGUGGAGGUCAGCGGAAUAUGUCAUGUAGCGGUGAAAUGCUUAGAUAUGACAUAGAACACCAAUUGCGAAGGUAGCUGGCUACGCGAAUAUUGACACUGAUGCACGAAAGCGUGGGGAUCAAACAGG
rnacentral:rRNA from 1 species